rnacentral:rRNA from 1 species
UACGUAGGGGGCAAGCGUUGUCCGGAUUUAUUGGGCGUAAAGAGCGUGUAGGCGGCCAUACAGGUCCGUUGUGAAAACUGGAGGCUUAACCUCCAGACGUCGAUGGAAACCGUAUGGCUAGAGUCCGGAAGAGGAGAGUGGAAUUCCUGGUGUAGCGGUGAAAUGCGCAGAUAUUGGGAAGAACACCAGUGGCGAAGGCGGUUCUCUGGGACGGUACUGACGCUGAGACGCGAAAGCGUGGGGAGCGAACAGG